rnacentral:rRNA from 1 species
UACGUAGGGUGCAAGCGUUAAUCGGAAUGUCUGGGCGUAAAGCGUGCGCAGGCGGUUAUGUAAGACAGUUGUGAAAUCCCCGGGCUCAACCUGGGAACUGCAUCUGUGACUGCAUAGCUAGAGUACGGUAGAGGGGAAUGGAAUUCCGCGUGUAGCAGUGAAAUGCGUAGAUAUGCGGAGGAACACCGAUGGCGAAGGCAAUCCCCUGGGCUAACACUGACGCUCAUGCACGAAAGCGUGGGGAGCAAACAGG